UACGGAGGGUGCAAGCGUUGCUCGGAAUUAUUGGGCGUAAAGGGUAGGUAGGUGGUCUCAUUUGUCUGGGGUGAAAGCCUUGAGCUUAACUCAAGAAGUGCCCUAGAAACGGUGAGACUAGAGUCCUGGAGAGGGUCGUGGAAUUCCAGGUGUAGCGGUGAAAUGCGUAGAUAUCUGGAGGAAUACCGGUGGCGAAGGCGGCAUCCUGGACCGGCAUUGACGCUGAUGAGCGAAAGCUAGGGGAGCAAACGGG
rnacentral:rRNA from 1 species